UACGUAGGGGCGAGCGUUGUCCGGAAUUAUUGGGCGUAAAGCGCGCGCAGGCGGUCUUUUAAGUCUGAUGUGAAAGCCCACGGCUUAACCGUGGAGGGUCAUUGGAAACUGGAGGACUUGAGUACAGAAGAGGAGAGUGGAAUUCCACGUGUAGCGGUGAAAUGCGUAGAGAUGUGGAGGAACACCAGUGGCGAAGGCGACUCUCUGGUCUGUAACUGACGCUGAGGUGCGAAAGCGUGGGUAGCGAACAGGAUUAGAUACCCCCGUAGU
rnacentral:rRNA from 1 species